rnacentral:misc_RNA from 1 species
GUAAGCUUAAAUAUAAAAUUUAAUAACUUGUAAUCGAAUAUUUAACGUAAAUACAUUUUUUCUACAGUAAAAUAUAAUUUCUCAAGAAAUUUUAAAAUUCACAAAAAUAAAUUCAAAAGCGACCAAAAUCAUGUUUCGACAGAACUUUAAGUUUCCUGGGACAAGAUCAAGACCAGAUAAGAUCAAGACUUAAACUUUAAACAUAUUUAAAAAUUGAUAUAAAAUCAGAAUUAAUAGCUUCCUAACUAAGUUGGUACUUGACGGACAAUGCCUAAGAG